CUGAUACCAGCUCACCGUGGGGAAGAGGAAGCCUUCCAAUGCCUACAGCUGGCUCCUGCCCAUCAAAAAAUUCUGUGAAGAGGAGUCAUGGUUGGAAGAAGACUUCAUGAUGGUCAGAGCACAAUAGAAAAGGAAAGAGAACCACUCCAAGAAGACGCCUCCUAUUCUGUCAAGAGGAGUCAUGGUUGGAAGAAGACUUCAUGAUGGUCAGAGCACGAUAGAAAAGGAAAGAGAACCACUCCAAGAAGACGCCUCCUAGUUGUAAGAUCGGAGAUACAAUAUGUGUCCGUACCUCUCGCUCUCCUGACAGCUCUCCGGCGCAGGCCGCGCCUCUGGCAAUCCGAUUGGCUGCCUCUGUGUCCACAGAGCUGUCAGCCUAGCAACGCGUCCAUAGAGAUGUUUGUCGGUGAAACGCUGGCGCGCGCUGCGAUCGUGCAACCUGCCAGCGCUCUGUGUACAUCGGGACUGUUAUGUUUACAACUGGCCCCACAUGUUACACUGUUUACUAUCAUGACGGCUCUCUUAAUGGAGCCUCGCUCUGAUGUAACACUACCGGGACACAUUUCCUACUGAUUUGGUGAUAGAUAUAAGCUAUGCUUAUAUUAACAGGGAAAAAAUAGAAAAGUAUAAGGCUCUAUUCUGCAUGAAUAUAGCGAUACCAUCUAUGUAUGUAAAGUGUAUUUCUUUUUGUAUUUUUCACUAUGUUAAUUGUAAAUGAACUGGAUGUGACAUCACAUUCUGCCCAACCCUUUUACCUGGAUCACCUCCAUUAUGUCCCUAUAUAAGGUCUGCUGGUGUCAGUAGUCCUUCAGAUCAUCUGAGGAAGGGGCAAUAGACCCCGAAACACGUCAUGAUCCUUUUAACUUGUAUGCUGUAAUACAAUAAAAGC